rnacentral:tRNA from 1 species
GAGGUCUUAACUUANUUAAAGUGNCUGAGUUGCAUUCAGGAGAUGUAUAUUAAAAUUAUGCANGCUUUC